CUUAUACUCCCUCCAUUCUGAAUUACUUGUCGCAGGUAUGAAUGUAUCUAGAUGUAUUUUAGUUUUAGAUACAUCUAUUUCUGCGACGAGUAAUUUGGAACGGAGGAAGUACGUG
rnacentral:pre_miRNA from 1 species